GACAGAGGGUGCAAACGUUGUUCGGAAUUAUUGGGCGUAAAGAGCGUGUAGGCGGCCAGGUAGGUCUGCUGUGAAAACUCGAGGCUUAACCUCGAGCUGUCGGCGGAAACCAUCUGGCUAGAGUCCGGAAGAGGAGAAUGGAAUUCCCGGUGUAGCGGUGAAAUGCGCAGAUAUCGGGAAGAACACCCGUGGCGAAGGCAGGUCUCUGGGCAUUAACUGACGCUGGAGGAGCGAAAGCAUGGGGAGCGAACAGGG
rnacentral:rRNA from 1 species